rnacentral:rRNA from 1 species
UGCCAGCCGCCGCGGUAAUACGGAGGGUGCAAGCGUUGUUCGGAAUCAUUGGGCGUAAAGCGCGUGUAGGCGGCUUGGUUAGUCGGGUGUGAAAGCCCGGGGCCCAACCCCGGAAUUGCAUUGGAAACUGGCGAACUUGAGUACGGGAGAGGAAAGUGGAAUUCCGAGUGUAGGGGUGAAAUCCGUAGAUAUUCGGAGGAACACCAGUGGCGAAGGCGGCUUUCUGGACCGAUACUGACGCUGAGACGCGAAAGCGUGGGGAGCAAACAGGAUUAGAUA